AAAGCGCACGUAGGCGGCUUUGUAAGUUAGAGGUGAAAGCCUGGUGCUCAACACCAGAACUGCCUUUGAUACUGCAUCGCUUGAAUCCAGGAGAGGUGAGUGGAAUUCCGAGUGUAGAGGUGAAAUUCGUAGAUAUUCGGAAGAACACCAGUGGCGAAGGCGGCUCACUGGACUGGUAUUGACGCUGAGGUGCGAAAGCGUGGGGAGCAAACAGGAUUAGAUACCCCGGU
rnacentral:rRNA from 1 species